CCGCGUGUAUGAAGAAGGCCUUCGGGUUGUAAAGUACUUUCAGUUGUGAGGAAGGUUUCGUAGUUAAUAACUGCGUUGCUUGACGUUAGCAACAGAAGAAGCACCGGCUAACUCCGUGCCAGCAGCCGCGGUAAUACGGAGGGUGCGAGCGUUAAUCGGAAUUACUGGGCGUAAAGCGCAUGCAGGUGGUUUGUUAAGUCAGAUGUGAAAGCCCGGGGCUCAACCUCGGAAGNNCAUUUGAAACUGGCAAACUAGAGUACUGUAGAGGGGGGUAGAAUUUCAGGUGUAGCGGUGAAAUGCGUAGAGAUCUGAAGGAAUACCAGUGGCGAAGGCGGCCCCCUGGACAGAUACUGACACUCAGAUGCGAAAGCGUGGGGAGCAAACAGGAUUAGAUACCCUGGUAGUCCACGCCGUAAACGAUGUCUACUUGGAGGUUGUGGCCUUGAGCCGUGGCUUUCGGAGCUAACGCGUUAAGUAGACCGCCUGGGGAGUACGGUCGCAAGAUUAAAACUCAAAUGAAUUGACGGGGGCCCGCACAAGCGGUGGAGCAUGUGGUUUAAUUCGAUGCAACGCGAAGAACCUUACCUACUCUUGACAUCCAGAGAACUUUCCAGAGAUGGAUUGGUGCCUUCGGGAACUCUGAGACAGGUGCUGCAUGGCUGUCGUCAGCUCGUGUUGUGAAAUGUUGGGUUAAGUCCCGCAACGAGCGCAACCCUUAUCCUUGUUUGCCAGCACGUAAUGGUGGGAACUCCAGGGAGACUGCCGGUGAUAAACCGGAGGAAGGUGGGGACGACGUCAAGUCAUCAUGGCCCUUACGAGUAGGGCUACACACGUGCUACAAUGGCGCAUACAGAGGGCAGCGAACUUGCGAAAGUAAGCGAAUCCCAAAAAGUGCGUCGUAGUCCGGAUUGGAGUCUGCAACUCGACUCCAUGAAGUCGGAAUCGCUAGUAAUCGUGGAUCAGAAUGCCACGGUGAAUACGUUCCCGGGCCUUGUACACACCGCCCGUCACACCAUGGGAAGUGGGCUGCAAAAGAAGUAGGUAGUUUAACCUUCGGGAGGACGCUUACCACUUU
rnacentral:rRNA from 1 species